GAUGAAGAACGUAGCGAAAUGCGAUAAGUAAUGUGAAUUGCAGAAUUCAGUGAAUCAUCGAAUCUUUGAACGCACCUUGCGCUCCCUGGUAUUCCGGGGAGCACGCCUGUUCGAGUGUCGCGAAAUUCUUCAAGCCUUGGAUGGAUUUUUUUUUGUCUGUCCUUGGGCUUGGUUGUUGGGCUCUGCAGUGUCCUUCAUUGGGACGGCUGGCCUUAAAAGCAUUAGCCGAUCCUCGUGUGGUACUGGUUCUACUCAGCGUGAUAACAAUCUGAUCGUUGAGGACAUCUUCUGGAUGGCCAGUCAUCAUUUGGGUUGCUUCUAAACCGGUUUCGCAGAUUGCUCAAUCUGUGUGCCACUUUUCAGCUUUGACCUCGAAUCAGGUGGGACUACCCGCUGAACUUAAGCAUAUCAAUAAGAGGAGGA
rnacentral:misc_RNA from 1 species